rnacentral:rRNA from 1 species
GAAGAAACGCUAGCGACAGGCUUAACACAUGCAAGUUCGAGGGGCAGCACAGGUAGCAAUACCGGGCGGCGACCGGCGCACGGGUGAGUAACGCGUAUGCAACUUGCCUAUCAGAGGGGGAUAACCCGGCGAAAGUCGGACUAAUACCGCAUGAAGCAGGGGCCCCGCAUGGGGAUAUUUGCUAAAGAUUCAUCGCUGAUAGAUAGGCAUGCGUUCCAUUAGGCAGUUGGCGGGGUAACGGCCCACCAAACCGACGAUGGAUAGGGGUUCUGAGAGGAAGGUCCCCCACAUUGGUACUGAGACACGGACCAAACUCCUACGGGAGGCAGCAGUGAGGAAUAUUGGUCAAUGGGCGUAAGCCUGAACCAGCCAAGUCGCGUGAGGGAUGAAGGUUCUAUGGAUCGUAAACCUCUUUUAUAAGGGAAUAAAGUGCGGGACGUGUCCCGUUUUGUAUGUACCUUAUGAAUAAGGAUCGGCUAACUCCGUGCCAGCAGCCGCGGUAAUACGGAGGAUCCGAGCGUUAUCCGGAUUUAUUGGGUUUAAAGGGUGCGUAGGCGGCCUUUUAAGUCAGCGGUGAAAGUCUGUGGCUCAACCAUAGAAUUGCCGUUGAAACUGGGAGGCUUGAGUAUGUUUGAGGCAGGCGGAAUGCGUGGUGUAGCGGUGAAAUGCUUAGAUAUCACGCAGAACCCCGAUUGCGAAGGCAGCCUGCCAAGCCAUUACUGACGCUGAUGCACGAAGGCGUGGGGAUCAAACAGGAUUAGAUACCCUGGUAGUCCACGCAGUAAACGAUGAUCACUAGCUGUUUGCGAUACACUGUAAGCGGCACAGCGAAAGCGUUAAGUGAUCCACCUGGGGAGUACGCCGGCAACGGUGAAACUCAAAGGAAUUGACGGGGGCCCGCACAAGCGGAGGAACAUGUGGUUUAAUUCGAUGAUACGCGAGGAACCUUACCCGGGCUUGAAUUGCAACUGAAUGAUGUGGAGACAUGUCAGCCGCAAGGCAGUUGUGAAGGUGCUGCAUGGUUGUCGUCAGCUCGUGCCGUGAGGUGUCGGCUUAAGUGCCAUAACGAGCGCAACCCUUAUCGAUAGUUACCAUCAGGUUAUGCUGGGGACUCUGUCGAGACUGCCGUCGUAAGAUGUGAGGAAGGUGGGGAUGACGUCAAAUCAGCACGGCCCUUACGUCCGGGGCUACACACGUGUUACAAUGGGGGGUACAGAAGGCAGCUACACGGCGACGUGAUGCUAAUCCCGAAAGCCUCUCUCAGUUCGGAUUGGAGUCUGCAACCCGACUCCAUGAAGCUGGAUUCGCUAGUAAUCGCGCAUCAGCCACGGCGCGGUGAAUACGUUCCCGGGCCU